rnacentral:rRNA from 1 species
GACGAACGCUGGCGGCGUGCCUAACACAUGCAAGUCGAACGGAGUGAAGCCCUUCGGGACUUUACUUAGUGGCGAACGGGUGAGUAACGCGUGAGGAACCUGCCUUUCAGUGGGGGACAACAGUUGGAAACGACUGCUAAUACCGCAUGACGCUUCUUGGGGGCAUCCCCGGGAAGCCAAAGAUUUAUUGCUGAAAGAUGGCCUCGCGUCUGAUUAGCUGGUUGGUGAGGUAACGGCCCACCAAGGCGACGAUCAGUAGCCGGCCUGAGAGGGUGAACGGCCACAUUGGGACUGAGACACGGCCCAAACUCCUACGGGAGGCAGCAGUGGGGAAUAUUGCACAAUGGGGGGAAACCCUGAUGCAGCGACGCCGCGUGAGUGAGGAAGUAUUUCGGUAUGUAAAACUCUAUCAGCAGGGAAGAUAAUGACGGUACCUGACUAAGAAGCACCGGCUAAAUACGUG